UGCACCAUCGGUAAAACCUAAGGCGACACGUGUCAAUCAAAGAGAUGAGUAGUACAUUGUUCAUCCCGUACAACGGCAGCGUACACCACCUAAUUUUGUAAGCAGCGUUUAUUAUACACGUGCUCUCUUCCUUUUUAACGCCGGAAAUCCCUCUUCCUUUUCCUUUUUCUCUCUUCAAACCAAAUCUCUACAUUUAGCCGUAGAAAUAUACGUAUAAUUAAUAUAUUGAUUGCCAUUUUUCGCCAUCAACGGAUUCGAUUCGGAACCCUAGCUAGAUUUUGGGAUCCUACACUUAUACAUAGAGAGAUAUAGUCUACUGUUACUUGUACUCUGUGUGUAAAUAAUUCAUUUCUAGAUUUUGGUUCGGAAGCCAUGGGAGCGGUGACAUCGUCCAUGGCAGCAAAGUUUGCGUUUUUUCCGCCGAAUCCGCCGUCGUAUGGAGUGGUGGUGGAAGAAUCGACGGGGAAAUUGAAGUUGACUGAAGUGGCGGCGAAGGAAAACGUUGACGUAUUGAAGCUACCGACGAAGAAGGGAACGGAGAUUGUCGCGGUGUAUAUUAGGAAUCCGGCGGCGACGCUGACGGUGCUUUACUCGCAUGGCAACGCGGCUGAUCUAGGUCAGAUGUACGAGUUGUUUGUCGAACUAAGUCACCUUCUCCGGGUCAAUUUGAUGGGAUAUGACUAUUCAGGGUAUGGGCGGUCCACCGGCAAGCCUAGUGAGCAGAAUACUUACGCCGACAUAGAAGCUGCAUAUAGAUGUCUUGAAGAGACAUAUGGGGUGAAAGAGGAAGAUGUCAUACUAUAUGGACAGUCGGUUGGUAGUGGACCCACACUGGAUCUGGCGUCGCGGUUGUCAAGAUUGAGGGCAGUGGUUCUUCACAGCCCAAUACUCUCCGGACUUCGUGUAAUGUAUGCAGUGAAGCGGACAUAUUGGUUUGACAUAUAUAAGAAUAUUGACAAAAUACCAUUGGUUGAAUGUCCUGUCCUCAUUAUUCACGGCACUGCAGAUGAUGUAGUUGAUUGCUCCCAUGGCAAACAACUUUUUGAGCUAUCUAAGCAGAAAUAUGAGCCUUUGUGGGUUAAAACUGGUAACCAUUGUGAUUUGGAGCUCUUCCCAGAGUACAUAAUACAUCUGAAGAAGUUCAUAUCAGCUAUUGAGAAAUCAACUAGUUUUAGAAAUGUAUCUGCUCUUAGCAUAAACCAAAUAGAUAAACCUCGAAGCAGUACAGAUUGUAGACCCCGGUCGAGCACAGAUCAGAGGGAGAAAUCUAGGCUAAGCACAGAGAAGAGAGAGCCUAGAAUAAGCACAGAUCAAAGAGAAAAAUCCAGAGCUAGCAUAGACCGCAAGGAGAAGUCGAGCAAGAGUGUGGAUCUCUCAGAUAAGGCAAAUGAUAAUACAGAACAACAAGAGAAAGCUAGAAAAAGCAUUGAUCGGUUAGCUUUGGCAACAUGAUGAGAUCUGCCGUAUUGUGCAAUAUUGAUUGCUUCAAGCCAGUGGGAGCAAAUGUCUGAAUGUCUGAUGAAGUUAUACGAUUGCUUUCAGAUAGCAGUUUUCCAAGAAUGUACGUGCUCCGGAGCUCAACUAAACAUCCCAAUGCAAACACUGUUUGUAGAUACCACGGCGAACCAAAAUGGUCUUAGCAUGAUAGUUAUCACACGGGAUCCUACAAUUUGGAUGAAUUGGGUUAGUAACAAGGAAAAAGUGGCGGGGUUUCUCUCGUUGGGUUAUGUGAUUAUAUGACCCAUUACAAAAUGUUCUUUUAAAAGUUUUAUGGCCCAUUUGACAGGAGAUCUAUUUAUUAUUUUAACACAUAGGAGAUACAGUGCUAUAAAGUACAAUAGAUCUUUGUGGUCGUUCUUUUUAAUUCAAAUUGUAACUGGCAAUUUAUAUCAUUUCCUCUCCCGUGCCUGUACCAAAUUGCAAA